AGUCGUGCGAGAAAGUAUCUUCGGAUAUGAUUAGAGCGGCGGACGGGUGAGUAACGCGUAGGAAUCUACCUAGUAGAAGGGGAUAGCCCGAGGAAACUCGGAUUAAUACCGUAUACCUCCUUCGGGAGAAAGAAGGCCUCUCUUUGAAGCUUUCGCUACUAGAUGAGCCUGCGUAAGAUUAGCUUGUUGGUGAGGUAAAGGCUCACCAAGGCGACGAUCUUUAGCGGGUCUGAGAGGACGAUCCGCCACAUUGGGACUGAGACACGGCCCAGACUCCUACGGGAGGCAGCAGUGGGGAAUAUUGGACAAUGGGCGCAAGCCUGAUCCAGCCAUACCGCGUGUGUGAAGAAGGCCUUAGGGUUGUAAAGCACUUUAAGUUGGGAAGAAAGGUUAUUGGCUAAUACCCAAUGACUGUGACAUUACCAUCAGAAUAAGGACCGGCUAAUUCCGUGCCAGCAGCCGCGGUAAUACGGAAGGUCCAAGCGUUAAUCGGAAUUACUGGGCGUAAAGCGCGCGUAGGUGGUUUAUUAAGUUGGAUGUGAAAUCCCCGGGCUCAACCUGGGAACUGCAUUCAAAACUGGUUCACUAGAGUACGAUAGAGGGAGGUAGAAUUCACAGUGUAGCGGUGGAAUGCGUAGAUAUUGUGAAGAAUACCAAUGGCGAAGGCAGCCUCCUGGAUCUGUACUGACACUGAGGUGCGAAAGCGUGGGUAGCGAACAGGAUUAGAUACCCUGGUAGUCCACGCCGUANACGAUGUCAACUAGCUGUUGGAAAGCACUGCUUUUCAGUGGCGCAGCUAACGUAGUAGGUUGACCGCCUGGGGAGUACGGCC
rnacentral:rRNA from 1 species